AACUGAAGAGGGGAAUUGCAAAAGAACAAAAAGGCCUUGAAAUCAGAAAUUUGAAAUUGCAGAAGCACCAAACCCUUGAGGAAAUUGAAAUUGGGAAGCUUGGUAAUGGAAGGCAGCGAGAGCGAGAAGGUGUUCGAUUCAUUGAACCUAAAUCCCCAACUCUUCAUCAACGAGGCCCUCAACUGUGUAGACGAUUUAGUUGACGAUGCUUUCGAUUUCUUCCAUCAAGAGGCAGCAAAGCUUCUGAAGACCGAGGGCACAGAUCGAUCCGAAGAUCUGAGAAAGGGUGUGACUAACAUUAAGAACAUAAUCCAAUUGGCUCUGGA
rnacentral:misc_RNA from 1 species